AAUUUUGGACAAUGGGGGAAACCCUGAUCCAGCCAUCCCGCGUGUAUGAUGAAGGCCUUCGGGUUGUAAAGUACUUUUGGCAGAGAAGAAAAGGUACAUCCUACUACGAGGUACUGCUGACGGCAUCUGCAGAAUAAGCACCGGCUCACUACGUCCCACAAGCCGCGGUAAUACGUAGGGUCGAAGCGUUAAUCUGAAUUACUGGGCGUAAAGCAUGUGUAGGCGGUUCGGAAAGAAAGAUGUUAAAUCCCAGGGCUCAACCUUGGAACUGCAUUUUUAACUGCCGAGCUAGAGUAUGGCAGAGGGGGGUAGAAUUCCACGUGUAGCAGUGAAAUGCGUAGAUAUGUGGAGGAAUACCGAUGGCGAAGGCAGCCCCCUGGGAUAAUACUGACGCUCAGACACGAAAGCGUGGGGAGCAAACA
rnacentral:rRNA from 1 species